AGCCGGCGGGCGGGAUGCGGGGGAACCCCUGGCGCCCGCGCUCCUCCAACCCCUCCCGAGAGGCAGCGCUGCUGCCGCCCCCCGGCUCCGCCCGGCGAGGCCUGGCCUCAGGGUCCCAGGAGCCCCGGCCCGCCCCGCGUCCCCCACGCCCAUCCCCCGGCGACCCCAGGAUCCCCGCGCAGGCCGGUGAGACGCUGCGGGGCUGUCCGGGAAACGCUCGCUGUCAGACGCCUCCCCGCGGGGAAGCCGGGAGUCCGUUUCCAAAGUGCGAGAGAAACACAAUGGUUAAAACCCAAACCGCUUCCCCGCGGCCCUGCCUCUGCUGGGCUGGAGGUGUGAAAUGAAGAUAAGAAAAUGAAAACAGCACUCAGGACCCCAUCGCUUUAAUACAACUGCGGUUGCAUCACAUGGUUUCUGUGCUGGCAUGUUCAUCUCCUCACCCUCCUGCAUGUGGCUGAGUGGCUUUGGUGCCCGGGAGGCAUCCCUCCCGUCCUCUCACAGCCUGGCCCCAGCAGCCUCUGUCGGCUUCUUUUCAGCGUCAUCUCAGUUCCCAGAGUUCUGCCCUCCUUCCCAGCCCCCACGCCAAAUGAUAACAACCCGCUUUCCCUCUGGUUUUUGGAUCUGGCCAUUAGCUUGCUGUCUGUUUCUGUUUCUGUUUCCGGUUCCUGCUGGCAGGUGGAUGCUGGGGACAGCCUGGUUGGGGCAGGGGCAGGGGCAGGGUCCAGAGGCUGGCUUGAGUCCCAGCCGGCUCCAGCACACCAGGCCCACCCCUCCCGGGACCCUAGUCUCCACUGCAUCCUCUGCCACACUCUUGGAAGACCCCCGGCCCGAGGGGACCGUCCAAGCACAACUUCCUGCCAAUGCAUGAAAAUCAUCCAUGAACUUCUCCCUGUCAAAGGCCAGGGGCUCCUUGUCUUUGAAAUGUUGCUCACUUUACAUUUUGUGCAGUGAGGCUGAUUGAGGAAAAGGGCUGUGGCCUGAGCUCAAGAGGUGACGAGGACCUGGCCAUGGUGACUGUCAGAGCAUCGUUGGGUCCCUGGCCUCCCCAGGCCCAGGGUCCUGAUGUGUGGUCCUCCACGGGUGGUUGUAGGGAAGGUGGUCCCAGCCCCCUGCCGUUUUAGGAUGUGGGAAGUGCCUGGCCGCCGUUAGUUAACAAGCACCCACCCAGCCCUGGCUGUUUGCCCUGGGCAGGCUUCUACGAGGGAGGGAAGGGACAGCUGGGGCCAGCUCUCCAGUGUGCUCACCUUCAUGUCCACCUGCUAAACUGCUAACCUGCCCAAAGUGUGUCCCACUGCCCCUCGCUGGGGCAUCUUCCUGGUUGCGCCUUCUUCCCAGAAGCACCCGCUGUGCAGCCCUUCCAGCAGGCAGAUACUAAGCCCAGCACCCCUCCCAGGCUCCAAGCUCACUUGUGUGCUAACCGCUGUGCCCACCUGGCCACCUGCUAACCUGCCUGAAGCGUGUCCCACUGCCCCAAGCUGGGGCUGCUUCCUGGUUGUGAGGGAAGUGCCUGCUCUGCAGACCCCCACCUUCCAGCAGGCGGAUACUAAGCCCAGCACCCCUCCCAGGCUCUGGCCCUCACCACACACCUGUGGUUUCAAGCCCUGUUCUGCUGGAGGGGACACUCCUCCCACCUCCCCAGCCCGCUCUGCUGGUUUCAAGCCCUGUUCUGCUGGAGGGGACACUCCUCCCACCUCCCCAGCCCUCUCUGCUGGAGCUGUGCCCCUCCCCCGACAUUCCUCCAGGCUGGGCCACCCCCACAUGCCUCCUUGCUCUCCACUGCCCAGACCUUCUCCUUAUCUUGUUUUCCUUUUUAUAUUGUUAUUCUCCCUCCCUGGCCUUGCCUCUCCCUGCUGGGUUCCUUGCCCGAGUUUCUAAUUCAGAGAAGACUGGGUAACUCCCCACGGUGUCUCUGCUAAAGCUUCCCAGGCCCAGUGACUUUUUACUAAAUCCUUGAAGGCCAUCAGGUUCCAGGGCCUGCUAAAGUCUCCAUAAUCACCCCUUGAUUCCAGAAAUGAUCCGAGACUAGAGACUUAUCCCAGCCCAGCCCUACCGCCUAGGUCCUCCGGUGCCUGCCUGGGAGCCUGUUUGUGCACUUUGAUCCCCAGCCUGCCUGCCGGAAAAUCAUCCAGGCUGUGGUUCCUGAUCCCAUCACCUGGCUUUAUCUGAGAUACAAAGCACAAUAUUCACCAAGGGCUGGUGGCCUUCCCUGAGGGUUGGCCUGUAUUAGCAACCUGCACCUGUACCCGUACCUGCACGACAUGUGGCCAGGCCUGUGCUCCGAGGCCAGGUUUCCCUUCCCCCAUCUCUUUCUUUGUCUCCCUCUGUGUUUCUCUCUCUGUCCCAGUCUCUCUCUUCUCCCCACUGCUGGUGGUGAGGAAUUCUCCGCAUGGGAUGUUGGUGCAUCCGUUUUCAAACUUGCUGGCUCAUCCUGAACGGCAUGUGCCCUCCAAGCAUCUUUUCCCUGACCUUGUGGAUUCUUUGCGAACAGCUGGGGAAGGGGUACCCUUUAUGGAAAUGAAAACCCCUCUGAGUCCCCACUUGGGGACAGCCACUUGGCUGGGACACAGGCCCAGAUGUUGGGAUGGCCUAAAGGGAGGUCCCUGUUGGAGGAGAGGGCUGUACAAUGUGGGGGCGCCUGGUGGGGAAGGUGAUGGCCAGGCUGAGACCUCCCCUGCCCUGCCUUGACAGAGGCUGCAGCACACUCCCACACACAGACACAUGCACACAAAUACAUGUGCACAUGCACACACAUUCACACAUGGACACCCGCACAGAUAGGUGGUGACUCAUGGAUACAGGUGUGCACGGACACACACGCACCUACCUAGACACAUGCACACAUGUACAUAUGUUCCCAUAGACACAGAUAUACAUGCACACACACAGGCACACACAUACUAACAGACAUGUACAUAUGUAUGCACACAUUCACAUAGACAUACGUACACACACUGACAGACAUGCACACACAUACACAGGCACACACAUACUAACACAUGUACACAUACAUGCACACAUUCACAUAGACAUACGUACACACAGUCACACACUGUCCAGACAUGCACAUACAAGGCACACAUAUACUAACAGACAUGUACACAUACAUGCACACAUUCACAUAGAUGUACAUGCACACAGUCACACACACAGACAUGCAUACAUAGGCACACACAGACAUGCACAAAGGCACAUACUAGCAGACAUGUACACAUACAUGCACACAUUCACAUAGACAUACGUACACAGUCAUACACUGACAGACAUGUACACACAUGCAUAAUAUGCACACAUGUACACACAGUCACAUAGACACAUAUACACACACAGGCACACAUGGAUGCCCAGCCACAUGCAUGCAGACACAGACACAUGUGCACCCUCUCACACACUUUUCUCUUUCUACAACUUUGGGGUCAGAAGACCACUGACAGCUGCAUCAGGAUCACUAAAAAGUGACACAAGGUCCAGGGGCUCUGUGGCCCCAGCUUCCUCAGACCCCCGGGGUCUCUCCACUCCCAGAGCCCCCUGCCUGAGGGGCUGGAGCCCUGUGGCCAAGGCCUUUCCUCCUGGGCCCAUCCUGAGGCCUGCAGGUGGACCCUGGCCUGGCCUCCUCUGAGGCCGUCUUCCGUGCUGGCUCCGCAGCCCUCUCCUGUGCCCGCACCUGUGCAGAUGCUUGUUUUCACCCGGGCGUCUGCAGGCACUUGGUGCCAGGCUCCUCCGGGGCUUUCUCAGAGGCAGCCGAGUGCCAGGCCCUGCACACGACACCCUCACCCGAGCCGGAGAGCUUCGCAUCUGUGGAAAACUCUAAUUAAAGACGUUUUGAGAAACGCUGAACGUCUCCCUUUGUUAUUUAGGAACAAAACACCCUUUUAGGAAGCAAGUGCUUAUGGCUUCUUUCUUGAGAUUCUGAGUAAAGGGGCGUUAAGCUUGCUAGCUGGGGCAUGCUGAGCACUUCCCAGGUUAUGGCUUUACCCCAGAGCGAUUGACAGGCAUCCAGGUUUCCUCAUGCUUCAUUUUCCCCUGUUUUCUAAGGUUAAAAUUGAGAGCUGUUUCUCCAAUGCAAAGCUGAUUGUUUAAGGGUUUCGUAUUUGAUGUUGGAAAUGCUCUGGACUCUUCCAUGGUUUUUAUAUUCCAGUGAUUUCAUUGCAAACCUGGUGUGUACGCCUUGUAAAUUUUGACCCUGACCAAGUGAAAGGUUCAUUUUAAAAGUUUUAAAAUAAAUUUUAAAGGGGAGCUGGAAGUGGAAUAAGUUAAGAACAGUAUCAGUUUUGCAUUUCACUCUGACAGAGGCACUGUCUGCUCUGACUGAUGGGUGUUGAUUAAAAGUAUAAUAUUCAAAAGAAAUAGUAAAGUGCAUUGGGCCUUGUUAAUGUUCUACUAAUUUUCUGGGGCUCCGUUUUCAAAUUAUAGGUGAAAUUUUUUUCCUUCCAGUGUUAGUGCCUAUGAUAAGAAAACACAUUUUCUCCACAUCUGUCCACAAACCUGCUAGACCCAGUUUUGUGACGCCCUCCCCUUGGAACUUGGGGCUCCAUGGAAAACACACAGCUUGACCCAGCCAGCCCUCAGAGAGCCUGGGCCGGUCACUGCAGUGGCCGGAUUCUCAGCAUACAAAGGCCAAACAUUCGGCCGGGCUGGGACUGGCUCCCAUCCAGGACCAACUGUCCACAGUACAGUAAGGCCACUCUCUGAGUCAACAUUGUUUCUUUUCUGAAUUGCUAAGUUGACCGUCCCUGCAGAAGCAGAGAGGGCUGCAGUGUGGCAUUCCUGCCCACUCCAAAUGAGGGCAGCCCGGACGCGGGAGCUCUCAGGGAGGCACAGUGGGCUUUGGAUGUGUCUGGACUGUCUCCACCACACCUGGAAGAUACUGUUGACUUCCUUUUUACACUUGUGGGAAACACAUGACAGUGUUUACGGGCAGGCCGGCUUUCCAUUUAUUUCAACCCUGACAAUUGAAUAGCAGCAGCAGAUGAUGAAACUGUUCCCUUCCUGGUCACUCCCGUUCUCAGAUCCAUCGCUUAGCUCGUCCGUCGCUCAGCUUGUCUGUUAGUCUGAAAGAUGAAUCGUGCACGGGUCCUCCUGAGAGUGCUGUUCUCAGGGUCUCCAUGUGUGAAGUUGUUACAUCCUCACGACAACUGUGUAACAGCUGUCACUGAGCCAUUUUACAGAUGUGGAAACUGAGGCCCUGAGAGGCUGUGGAGGGCUACAGUGUGUCCUGGGCAUUUGAGCCCCACACUCUGUCAUUAACUCCUGUGCUCGCUGGGACUGGGGGAGAGCAGGACGCGGCAGCACCCCCGGCCCCACUGUGUGCUCCUCUGUGUGUAGGUGACUGUGAGCAUACUGGCACCCAUGUGAGGGCCGAGUGGUGCUGGUGUGGGCGCAUAAAGCACAGGGCGGCUGCGGGGAGCUGGGUGUGUGUCAGUGGCUCCGAGCAUUAGUCUCGGGAACAUGGUCUGCCAGGUGCGUCAUGCUGGGCUACAGAGCCCAUGGCUCCACCAUAAAUGGUGGCUUUGUGUUUGAACUUGAGUGUUGCUGCUCAGUGAGGCCAGAGGAAGGCACCAACCUGCAGGCCUGACCGGUCCUCACAACACGGAAGGCAACCAGUCCACUAGAGAGACAUGUGUCCCGGCCACUGGAGGAGUCCAAGUGACCUUUAAGUCUCACCAGACCUCAGAGCAACCCAGGUGAAUUUGGGGCCUGAGCUUGGUCGUCUGGCCGAAGACCAGCUCAACUUGCAUAAAGCCGGAGGAGAAGCCUGUCCCUCAGGCAGCUGCCGGGGCAUCUGUGAUUUCUGCUUGUGUGCACUCUUGGCGACUGUUGGUGGUGGUCGCAGUCAGGGCAUCUGGUUGCCUUUACUGUCCUUACACCAGCUGGGCAGAGCUCGGGCUGGGAGCCCAGUGGGAGAGGCCGGGGCGUGACUCCCGGCGCAGAAGCGGCAGUGGCACACCGGCGUCCCGAGCACAGCUGUCCCUGCCAGGCCCCUGUGGGUUGGAUCUUUGGGUUGAGUCAUGCUCGAUGGUGCAGCCAUCCUUUCAAGGGAACUGAGCUGUCCAGCGUCCCAUGGAGCAGCUCCCCGUGGAUCCGGAGAGGCCGUAAAUAAACCUCCCCAUUUGUAAGCCGGGAACACACACGAACUUUGCAAUCAUGUUUGUCCUGGGAUCAUAGAACGUGGUGGCUGGCAAGACCCAGGCGUCCUCAUCCUGUGCUGCUGUGAACAGAGGCCGGUAGCUUAUUGAGGGACCAGUCCCAGAGGCCGGUAGCUUAUUGAGGGACCAGUCCCAGAGGCCGGUAGCUUAUUGAGGGACCAGUCCCAGAGGCCGGUAGCUUAUUGAGGGACCAGUCCCAGAGGCCGGUAGCUUAUUGAGGGACCAGUCCCGGUUCGCUUUCUGUGGGGAAGACUCUGAUGGAAGCCUAGGCCCCAAACUCCAAGGUUAGCACAUUUUCUUGGAGGGAUUGACACCUCCAAAGGUGAACUUGGGUCCAAGGCACGUGUGUGCAACCUGAAGCGUGGGUGCCGUGUGCAGGAGACGCCCUCACCGGAGGUGGGGACCGAGUCCACACGGCUCUAACUGCAGAAUCACUGGCCCUGUGCCCACGACUGUUUUAUUGUGCUGUUUUAUAUGAUCACAAAGUACACUGUCUUGUUUUUCCCAAAGCAUUUGCAGUGAGACAUCCCACUUCCUCUCCACGGCAGCUGUUGCGGGCACGAGGCUGCUCCCAGGACAGCGAUGCCACCGGGGCCGGGGUGGGCACGGAGGAACCCUCUUCCUUCCUCCUCCCCGCCCUCUGCUCCCCCGCAGACUGGCCUGUCUUUAGUCAGCACUUUCCCAGGCUCCCUUCUGCCCACCACGUGCAAACAGUGGCGUGUCCUGGGCCUCUCUCCUUGUAGUGUUUCUUGUGGCCAGCAUCCCUCCCAUCCGACAGCUGUGUGGCUUCCUGACUGGCUUCUCUCAGGGCCCGCAAGGAUGCUGCCAAAUGGCCAGAGACAGUCACUGCUCUGCACUUCAAAGCAGGCAGCCCUCAGUGGGGCUUGCCCUGAAAGACAGCGGGCCUUCCUCGAUGAGAGCCUGUGCUGGCCCAGGGCCUGUGGGGGCUGCAGCUCUGUUCCUUCCCUGCGUCCACGCUCACAUGCUGAAUGUUGUGCACCACGGGACACCCUGCUGGGGGCUGUCGGGAGCAUGCUCUGUGUUUGGGGCAGAGACGGGCAGAGUGAGUCUCAGCAUUACUGCCGUGCAGGGUUGAGUCUCAGCAUGACUUCCGUGCGGGGCGAGUCUCGGCGUCACUGCCAUGCGGGGCGAGUCUCGGCGUUACCGCCGUGCAGCUGCUGGAAGCCACUCGAGCUCCUCUGUCUCGUUUGCCAUGAAGCCCAUGAGAGACACUGAUGUGUGUCUCGGGGCUUCUGUGAGAAGAGCUUGGUUACCCACCGGGUCAGGCACCACGUCGGUGCUGUGAGGCAUGGAGGGUGCUCACAGCUGUGCAGUCAGCUGCAGAGGCCUUUCCCAGCAUCCACAUCUGACCGGGCAGUCACACCCAGGAUGAGCUCCCAGGAAGAGGGCUCCCAGCAAGGGAGGGCGCACCUGGGUGUGAGCUUGGAGGAGGGCAGAGGCACCUGUCACCGCUGACCCUGGGUGCAGAUGGGCACGCCGGGUGUACUGACUGUGCUUUCCUGGGGCCUGUCUCCCUCCAGGUCAGCCUGGGGUCCUCUGGGCUGGGGGCCAUGCACUGCCUCCUGUGGGCAGUGGGAUCAGCACUUCCACUUUGCUCAGGGCUAGAGCAGGCUGCUGCGGGUGUGAAGACUUAGGAAACGAAUUCGGAAGGAAGGAAAGGAUUUUGCACUUCCCAAGCUAGAAGAACGUGAAUAGAGCCGGGCUGCCAGGCCAAGGGUCUGUAAGACGGCGGCUCUUCAGAGACUCUGCAAAUGCUGAGAAAGGAAGGCUCCCCAAGGGCAGUUCCUGUGGGCGUUACUCUGAGUUUUCUCGUAGAAGUCAAGUUCUUGGAAGACAGCACUAUGGUCAAAGGGUUAGUGAAUUCUUGUGACCAUUUCCCAUGGAAAAUAUCAGAGAAAGUUAUGGUGUUGAUAAACAGAGUCCCUGUGCUCAGCAGUCUCCACCCACUUGUCAAGUAAGAUAAAGAUUUUUGGAAACAAAAUUUAUGGCUGUUAUUUGCUAAAGAGAGUAAUACAUUCUUAGCACACUCUGAAAAAUAACCACUAUUUGCUGUAUGAAUGCAGAUGAAACUCACACAAAAAGAUUUAUGCAGGACUGACAUCGGGUGUUUGCAGAAGGUUCUCCACGUUCACUGACCUCUGAUCCUCACUGCAGCUCUGAGGGGACUGUGGCCCAAGGAUGAGUGAGUGUCAGGUCGGGCCGUGCCCUUAAUCCCCUGGCUGCCCCUCACCACCAGGCAGAGACCUUGCUGGGACCCAAGGAGUUAAAGUGUAUUCAGAGAUGAAGGUGUUUAGGAAAUGUUCUGGAACCUUCCAAGCUGACUUUAGGCUGCGUGAGGUGCUUCCAGUUCAGUGUACUUUGGGCCCAAAAGUGUUUCCUGUCUUGUUAACGCGCUGUGUUGUGUGCCAUCACCGCAUGGAGGUUUUGGCCAUUUUUAAAAAGUGAAUGGGCCCUCCCAGGGUCUAGUUGGAUCGAGAGACCACUGGAAACCCUCACCAAGCUGCAGGCAGGUAGGCAGGGGCCCCAGAGCAGGCCUAGGGGAAGAGUCCCCCCCGCCCCUUGGAGGGUCUCUUCACGUGCUGGGUGCUGCCUGAUUCCUGCGGUGGCGUGGGGAGGUCACCCCACCUUGUUCUGAACCACAGCUCUGGGUGAGGAAGCCUGUCACCAGGUUAAAGGCCAUUUGGGGGUUGGGGCGUGAGAACCGCAGUGCCCUGCUGGUAGGGUUGCCGCAUGGGUGGCCAGGCUACAGCCUGGUCCCCGAGGCCGACCCAUCCUGGGAACCCUGUGUGCAGCUCCCUGCCAUGCUUGACCUUUGCCCUGUGGGUGGCUUUGAGCGGGGGAGACCUGGGUCUGGUGGUGGGCAGGGCAGGGGCGGAGGUGGGCUUGGGUCUUUGUGACACUGCACCAAUUCCCAUGGAUUCUGUCGGCACCCACUGCCCUCCUGAGCACAGCAAAGGCAGCAGAGGCGGAUGCCAGGGUCCGGAGGCGGCAUCUACUCAUCAGACACUUUCUGUAGUUUUAUAACAAAUUUGGGGCCUCAUGUUAGACCCCAGCCAGACCAGGCUCCUGUCCUGGGGCUCAGCUCCCUCCAAGCUGCUUCAGGUUCAGUUUCCUCCAUGCUUACGAAACCGAAGGGCAACGGGCACAGUCAGGGAGGCGUCAGAGGAGGCACCGACUCUGUUGUUCACACCGGGACCUUCUGCAGACGGGGCUCCCAGCCUCGACCAGCCCUGGAACCCCCAGCACGGGGACGUCCAAUCUUUUGGCUUCCGUGGGCCACAUUGGAAGAAGAACUGUCUUGGGCCACACAUAAAAUUAACACUAACAGUAGCUGAUGAGCUAAAAAGAAGGUCUGUGCCUAAAGCUCAUGUUUUAAGAAAGUUUACGAAUUUAUGUUGGGCUGCAUUCAUGGCCAUCCUGGGCCACUCACAGUUGCGCCAGAGCCUCGGGAGCAUGGGCCGAGCACUUGCCCUGCUUCACCCAGGGACGGGGCCCUGCACUGACCAGGAAGCUGCUGCCCUCCAAGUCGUCCCUGCCAGGAACAGCAAAGCACACAAACCUCCGAGAGACCUAAUGGCUGCAUCCUUCGUGCAGUGGGCACCACGAUUGUCACCUAGAAGAGUGGGUUUGGCUGAUGUCAGUUAAUAACAAGGAUGUAAGUUUUAAAAUCACGUGGGGGUUUGUAAACUUGAGGAAUUACAGCACAAACACUUCCAUAUUAUUAAAAGAAACAGACUGGGAGCAUUGAUUUUGACUUUUCUUCCGAGUACUUAUCUAUGAUUUAAGUGAAACUGAGCAUUCAGUGCUCUGUGGGAGUGAAAACUGCAGGACCUUGCACUUGCCCACUGAUUCAUUCAUUCACCCAUCCACCCACCCAUUCAUUCAACUAUCCAUGCACUCGCUCAUCCAUCCAUCCACUCAUUCCUUCAUUUAUUCAUCCAUCUCCAUCCAGUCACCCAUUCACCCACUGAUUCAUUCACUCAUCUAUCCACUCACUCACCCACCCAUUCACUCAUCCAUUCACCCACCCACCUAUUCAUUCAUUCAUGUAUUCAUCUAUCUACUCACUCUCAUUCACCCACUCAUUCAUUCAUUCAUCUGUCCAUCCAUUCACCUAUCCACCCACUCAUCCAUUCAUGUACUCACUCAUCUACCCACUCACUCAUUCUUUCAUUCAUUCAUCCGUUCACUCACCCAUCCACCCACUCACUCAUUCAUUCAUACACUCACUCAUCCACCCACUCACUCAUUCAUUCAUACACUCACUCAUCCAUCUAUUCACUCAUUGUUUUAUUCAUUCAUCCAUCCAUCCACUCACCCAUCUAUCUACGCAUUUAUUCAUUCACCCACUCAGUCAUCCGUCCAUCCUCAUUCAUUUAUCCAUCCAUCUCCAUUCAUUUACUCAUCCAUCCACUCAUUCAUUCUUUCAUCCACCCACUCACCCAUCCACUCAUUCAUUUGUUCAUUCAUCCAUCUCUAUCCACUCAUCCAUUCAUUCAUUCCCAUUCACUCAUUCAUCCACUGAUUCAUUCAUUCAUUCAUCUGUUUAUUCACCCAUCCACUCACUUAUCCAUCCAUGCAUCUGUCUGCUCACUCAUCCAUCCUACUCACUAAUCUAUCUCCCGAUUCACUCAUCCAUCCAUUCAUUCAUUCAUCUGUGCAUUUAUCCAUACAUGCAUCUAUCCAUCCAUCCAUCUAUCAGUCCAUCUGUUCAGUCAUUCAUCCAUUCACUCAUCCAUCCAUCCACCCACUCAUUCAUGCAUCCAUCUGCCCAUCCACUCAUUUAUUCACCCAUCCAUUCUUUCACGCACUCAUCCACUGUCCAUCUGUCAUCCAUCCAUGUGUUCAGUGACGGCUCCUGAGGCCUCUGGGGGACAGUCAGCACCAGGCUCGGUGCUGGGCAGGUAGAUGUUGUCUUUUUCCUCUUGAAGCUUCAGCUAACAGUGCAGUGGCUUGGGGUUUGCUCACUUAUUUUUAUCUGUAGCUGUUCAAAUAAAACAGAAGCAGAUCCCCGGGGAAAGGAUUUCCAGGGGCCAAAUGGCGCCAUUUCCAGCCUGGGAAUCCCAGCUUCUUCCCCCUGUUGCCCUCACCUAACCCCAGCAGGCCAACCCAUUACCACAGGUCUUGCUCUUCCUAGGUUGAGAAGAAAGAGAGUCAGCGUGUACGUAAGGAGCUCCUGGUUCUAAAUCUCGGCCUCCUGAGUGGUGGCCUCUGCUCCAUGGGGACUCCUGGGGGUGCUGCUCUGGAGAGUUGGCUAAUGCAGGGCUUCAGGCCAAGGUUUAUGGACCUGAACAAGCUGUAGUGCAGACAGGGGUGGGAGGGUUUUGAGAACAAAGUGCUCUGUGUUUGGUUCUGCAGGUCAGGGAGCUUAUCUGGGUGCCUUUACUCAAAGCCAUUUCUGGGUCUUACAUCUUUGGCUAGAAUGUUCUCAGGACAACGUGAAAUGUCUUUAUCUCAGGAGUGUAUACCAGAAUGUUCUCAGGACAACGUGAAAUGUCUUUCUUUCUUGGGAGUGUGUACCAGAAUGUUCUCAGGAAAAUGUGAAAUGUCUCUUUUUCUUUCUCUCAGGAGUGUAUAGCGUUUUUAGGUUUAUUCAUCUUAGCUUUUCUCUUGCUCGUGGUUUAACCAUCUUUCCCCUAGUUUGCCGGUGGAAUUAGCAUAUGCUUUCUGCCUCCAUUACUGUCUCAAAUAAUCAAACAUGCAAAUUAGGAUACAGUGCCCAGGGUUAUAACCCUGUGGUUUCAGAAACCCCAUUCCCAUAGGUGUGGCGAACUGAGAGGAGAUUGGCAUAGUUUUUCCAUGAAUAAUGCCUUUUUGCAACAAUAAAACGUGGUAUUAAUACAGAUUACACAUUAAGUAGUAUGACUAGUCUUGAUUUUGAAAAAUAGAACACACUUGCUGUAAAGCUGUGGUAAUGCAAGCAUUUGUGUAUAGUUAGGCCGUUUGCUCACUAGUUCUUAGUUGUUUUCAAUCCCUGGCUUCUAAACCUGAAAGGACACCUUUUGCAUCCCUCGCAAGUCUUUUAUUUCAGAGCCAGAGCCUCCUGCUUUGAGACAAAGCCCCAUCACUUCCCUUCUCCUUCCAAGCCUAGAAACCUGGUGCCACCUCGUGUUGCUCCAGGACUCCACCAAGGCUCACUUGGUAUGGCUGUUCUUGCCUUUUCUUGGAGUUUGCCAACCCAUGACUAAAAUUGGAAGUGAGAGAAAUGAGGGCAGGCAUGAGGGUGUGUGUUCCAGGUCUGCAGCCCUCCUGACCUUCAGGGCGGCCGCCCUCCCAACAGACACAUGAGCUGAACACCAGCUCACCCUGACCGUUCCUUUCUCUUAAGGGAGUAAGAGUUUAAGAGCAUCCCAUCUUCCCUAGAACACAACUUUGUGAAAACACAUCCAAGCAGGCCUCAGGAGGGUGUUGGCAAGGCUGGGGCGGGGCCUCCAGGCUCUUCCCACAAAAGGUGUGGCAAGGCCAGCAAGUGUGGGAGAGAGGUGGGAAGGAGGCAGAAAGGCUGUGCAGAGCCAGCGCAUGAAGCCAGAGGCGCAUUGCAGAUGACGCUGGGUACCGCCUCUGUCUGCUACUCUGCAAAAUGCUACCAGCGCCUGCUAAUCCUGACCUUCAUGCCCCCAGGUGAAUCCCACAACCAUCCUGAAGCCGGGUUUCCGCAUUCCUGAUAAUGGGAUUAAAAAGACUUUCCUGGGUGUUAUUUGUGAGGAUUUCAUAAAAUAGUGUAAAAAUGCUGACUCAUACCCAGCAUGGAGAGGCCGCUGGGACUAUUCUGCCAUGACUGUGGUCUCUUGGUUUAGAGCAUUUAGGGCCAAA